AAAAAACACAUAAACAGAACAAGUAAUUACAGUUCAUUUCCUGACAGAGACUUUUUUAUUCGCUGAGAGAAAAAGCUGGAAACCUGUGAUGAACACAUCUGUUUUCGUCAUCUUCUGAAUGCAGUAAGAAGAUGCGGUAUUCUCCGUUAUCAGAAAAAAUCUUUAGCAUAGUAAGGAUUUUAUGAGGUUAGUGCUGUGAGGCACUAACAAAUUGAGGUGGAACCACGAUUUUUUCGUCCUCUUG
rnacentral:ncRNA from 1 species